GAUGUUCAUAUAUAUAUAUAUAUAGGGGAAGCAUUGAUUGAAUUUCUGAGGGCCCUCAAUGAUUCCAAUAAUCAAAUUAAAGAUUGGAAUAGUUUUUUUGUGAGCCCCUGCUAUAGUUGGUCUAAUGUUGAUUGUAGCAACAAACAUGUUAUAUCUCUGAACUUGGCAUCAAAAGGAUUUUCUGGAACACUUUUUCCCUGAAUUGCCAAAUUGAAAUACUUGGUUAGCUUGUAUGUUGUUACUGUCAUAGAUUCACAUUUUUUAUGAGAUUUGAUAAUUCUGAUAUUGUACGAAUCUAAGAAUCAGAUUACCAUAGCUUAUCUCAAGUACAUUUUCC